rnacentral:tRNA from 1 species
UGCCGGAUCGUCUAAUGGUAGGACUACGGUUUCUGGUACCGUCUAUCGGGGUUCGAAUCCCUGUCCGGCAGCCA